GGGGAUGAAGCUCAGUUGGUAGAGCACCUACCUACCAUGCAUGAAGCCCUGGGUUCCAUUCCCAGCACCA
rnacentral:tRNA from 1 species